UGAGGAAUAUUGGGCAAUGCCCGCAAGGGUGACCCAGCAACGCCGCGUGGAGGAUGAAUGUCGUAAGAUUGUAAACUCCUGUUAGAGGGGAAGAAUAGUACCGGUUGGACCGGUAUAUGACUGUACCCUCAGAGAGAGCCCCGGCUAACUACGUGCCAGCAGCCGCGGUAAUACGUAGGGGGCAAGCGUUGUCCGGAUUUACUGGGUGUAAAGGGCGCGCAGGCGGGAUAAAAAGUCAGUGGUGAAAUCCUACAGCUUAACUGUAGAACUGCCUUUGAUACUUUUAUUCUUGAGUUCGGGAGAGAGAGACGGAAUUCCAGGUGUAGUGGUGAAAUACGUAGAUAUCUGGAAGAACACCAGUUGCGAAGGCGGUCUCUUGGUCCGACACUGACGCUGAGGCGCGAAAGCGUGGGGAGCAAACA
rnacentral:rRNA from 1 species